rnacentral:lncRNA from 1 species
CAAGCUCUGAUCUUCCCUCUCUCUUAUCCCUCCCUGUCCUGGAUCUAUCACACCUCCCAGAAUGAGAAGUUACAAGAGGAGAAUGAUGUCCUGAGAUCCACUGAAGAGCUACUGCUCAGAGACAAUGACAAGAUAAAAAAGAAAAUACUGAAGCUUAAGGAACGCCACGAAUCUCUGCAAGACGAUAUCUACACGCUGGAGGAACGUCUGUGUUCUUGCACCUGCCCUGAGAACCGAUCGAACCACGAACACAAAGAGAGCAAAAGGGCUGCGAACACAGGGCGACGGCUCCCGUGAGUACCCGAGGCCGGAUGCACCACCCCGUCCCCCCACGGAAACAAACCCCCUCUGGGGUUCAAUAAACUUCUCUCCGGGGCUGGGAACCCCUCUGAU